rnacentral:rRNA from 1 species
UACGUAGGGGGCAAGCGUUAUCCAGAUUUACUGGGCGUAAAGCGCGUGUAGGCGGCCAUCUAAGUCGGGCGUGAAAUCCCACGGCUCAACCGUGGAAGUGCACUCGAAACUGGAUGGCUAGAGUCCUGGAGAGGAAGGUGGAAUGCUUGGUGUAGAGGUGAAAUUCGUAGAUAUCAAGCGGAACACCGGUGGCGAAGGCGGCCUUCUGGACAGUGACUGACGCUGAGACGCGAAAGCGUGGGGAGCAAACAGGG